UUUACACUGUUUUAGGUAAGUUUAGUCGCUAAAAUCACACAAAUAUUACAUACAAAUGUUCCUGGCGCGUUUCUUACUUGUUAUUGACAUGUUUCAAUUAAAUUUAUUUUAUAGAAAUGGUUUAGUGUCUUCGAAAAAGUCCGUUAGCAUCUUAGCAGUUUUCAGGAGGACAGAAAUAAACUCUACAGAACAGAAGUGAAUCUCCAAGAUUUCAACAUUUCUGAAGGGAGAUAACGUUACUGACUUAGAAAUACAGGGUUGGCCUGAUUGAUGAUGCCAUCGCCCAUCGCCGAUGGCUGAUAGACAUCACGAUGCUGCGCCGGCAAACAGCGUCAUCAGCUCUAGUAUCUCGCCCGUGCAUCUGUUGUCAUGCGACAGAGAAGUCACGUUCUAUAGACAGUUUCUAUAGACAGUUGUGAACGUGCUGACAGCUGGUUGCCCAGGCUAUGGAUUAAAGGUAAUACUGUUGUAAGUAGUGUUCAUUUUCUCCUAAAUACCGAUCAUUUCGCUUCAUUAGACCUCAAUGUAUCACCAGUAGCCACCGGUAUUGAUUUGGUCUUUUUUUUUUUCUGGACAUCCACACAGCACCACAGUAUUAUCAACUAGAGAUCAACCGAUAGUGGAUUUUUCCAAUACUGAUAGCUAGUUUGGACCACACUGGCCGAUACCGAUUUAUAAACCAAUAGUUUUUAAAAUGAAUACUGAACAAAAUGGAUACUGAAUGAGAGCAGCGGUCUGCGGUCGCGCUGUGGGUUCCCGGGUUUGUGUCCAUUCUCGGACCAUUCCAUGUAUUUCAACUGUAGAAAAGGUUGUUCCGAGCCGAAACUGACUUCUUCCAUAUUUGUCGACCAAUAUACAGAAAACUACAUCAGUAUAUCAUCAUAAACACAAACUUUUUUGUCUUACAUGAAUGUAAACAGAUGAGAAAGAAAACACACA